AAACUUUUGUUUUCUACUUCUAUUUUGUAAAAGUCGCGAGUUUACUCAUCGAGUUAAGUCAGUAUCGAUGGCCAAGUUUACUGUCCAAGAAGUUGAAGCACUUCAAAAUGGUGGCAACCAGCGAGCAAGGGAAACCUAUUUGAAGGAUUGGGACUUUCAAAGGCAGCGAUUGCCUGGUAACAGCAACAUUGAAAAAAUUCGGGAAUUUAUAAAGAAUGUAUAUGUUGAUAGAAAAUAUGCUGUUGGAAGAACAUCCGAGAAGCCUCCUAGAGAUAUGCAGGUAUUUU